GACGAACGCUGGCGGCGUGCCUAAUACAUGCAAGUCGAACGCAGUGGGGACGGGUGAGUAACACGUGGGUAACCUCCCAUCAGAGGGGAUAACACUUGGAAACAGGUGCUAAACCGAUACUGAUGGAUGGACCCGCGGUGCAUUAGCUAGUUGGUGAGGUAACGGCUCACCAAGGCCACGAUGCAUAGCCUACCUGAGAGGGUGAUCGGCCACACUGGAACUGAGACACGGCCCAGACUCCUACGGGAGGCAGCAGUAGGGAAUCUUCGGCAAUGGACGAAAGUCUGACCGAGCAACGCCGCGUGAGUGAAGAAGGUUUUCGGAUCGUAAAGCGCUGUUGUUGGAGAAGCGGUAUGAAACCAGCAAGCCACUGCUAACUUCGUGCCAGCAGCCGCGGUAAUAC
rnacentral:rRNA from 1 species